GGUUACAUAUUGUGUGUGUUUGUGGUUGGCAGGGGAGUGACAGAAGAGUGUGGCUUUGAGUGUCUUAGCAAGACACUAAUCUGUGCCAGCUUAACUCAAGGGUACGGAGUCAAUGAUACAUUGAAAACAAUUCAUGUUUUUACAGCUUAUACUCAAAUGUGAUAUGUUGGUAUGCAAAUGAGAGCAAAUGUCACUUACAAAACUGGGAGAUUCAAGCUUGACUACAACAGGAAUUAAAAACCUCAAGCUGGC